UACGUAGGGUGCGAGCGUUGUCCGGAAUUACUGGGCGUAAAGCGCGCGCAGGCGGCACUGUAAGUAAGGUGUGAAAUAUCCCUGCUCAACGGGGAGGGUGCACUUUAGACUGCAGAGCUAGAGGACGGUAGAGGGGGGUGGAAUUGCUGGUGUAGCGGUGAAAUGCGUAGAGAUCAGCAGGAACACCCGUGGCGAAGGCGGCCCCCUGGGCCGAACCUGACGCUGAGGCGCGAAGGCUAGGGGAGCGAACGGG
rnacentral:rRNA from 1 species